GUGUCAGCAGCCGCGGUAAAACGUAGGUCCCGAGCGGGGGUGGCAGAAACAGAGUGUAAAGGGCGCGUAGGUGGUUGUCUGUGUCUCAUGUGAAAACUCAGGGCUCAACUCUGAGAUUGCGUGGGAAACUAGGCAGCUAGAGGACGGUAGAGGGGAGUGGAAUUCCCGGUGUAGCGGUAAAAUGCGUAGAUAUCGGGAGGAACACCGGUGGCGAAGGCGGCUCUCUGGGCCGAUCCUGACGCUGAGGCGCGAAAGCUAGGGGAGCGAACCGGAUUAGAUACCCGGGUAGUCCUAGCCGUAAACGAUGGGUGCUAGGUGUUGGGGGGUAAAGACCCUUCAGUGCCGAAGCCAACGCGAUAAGCAUCCCACCUGGGGAGUACGGCCGCAAGGUUGAAACUUAAAGAAAUUGACGG
rnacentral:rRNA from 1 species